rnacentral:rRNA from 1 species
GAUGAACGCUGGCGGCGUGCCUAAUACAUGCAAGUCGAGCGCACGGACGAGAAGCUUGCUUCUCUGAUGUUAGCGGCGGACGGGUGUGUAACACGUGUAUACCCUAUCUAUAAGACUGGGAUAACUUCGGGACACCGUAUCUAAUACCGUAUAAUAUUUUGAACCGCAUGGUUCAAAAGUAAAAGACGGUCUUGCUGUCACUUAUAGAUGGUUCCGGGCGUCAUUAGCUAGUUGGUAGGGUAACGGCUUACCAAGGCAACGAUGCUUAGCCGACCUGAGAGGGUGAUCGCCCACACGGGAACGGAGCCACGGUCCAGACUCCUAGGGGAGGCAGCAGAAGGGAAUCUUGCGAAAUGGGCGAAAGCCUGACGGAGCAACGCCGGGUGAGGGAUGAAGGUCUUCGGAUCGUAAACCUCUGUUAUUAGGGAAGAACAGAUGGGGAAGUAACUGUGCACAUCGUGACGGUACCUAAUCAGAAAGCCACGGCUAACUACGUG